AAUGCGAUCAUCAAAGGAACGCCAAAUUUUCACAAUAAAAAAAAAAAAAAAGAAGUUUUUUACACCCUCCACAUCUAUAAAUAGAUAACUCAAUGCGACUUAUUAGUUUAUUCAUAAAUUAAGUAAUAAAUCUUUAGGUGAAGAUUGUAGCGAGUGGUAAUGAUGAACAAGGGACACUUUGGAUUUUUCUUCAUUUUACUUAUUCUCCUUACUUGCGAUAUGAUGGAACAAACUGAGGGAUGGGGCUGUGAGCCUGCCGAAUGUGAUUUGAAAUGUAUUGCUGCAGGUUAUCCGCGUGGUGGUCAAUGCAUUAAUAAAAUUAGAUGCUUCUGCAAGAAAUCCAUUGCGGGGGUAAUGAAAGAUCAUAUGCAAGGCGAGCAUUUGUAAAUAGUUCCGUUUAUUAUUAGCACACGAGUAUUCGAGUAGAGAUCCUUUUCAUUUUUAAAAAAAAUUUGAUGGUCUUAAUUACUAGUAUAGUUUUAGCUGUGAUCACUAUAUCUUAGCUACUAUGUCCUUGUGUUCUAGUUAGUUUUCUGAUUAGUAAGGAGUAUAUACCCCUUAUAAUCAUUUGUGUCUUGUUUCAUUUUAUUUAAUCUAAAAUUUCUUUUAGUUGCUUAUGGGUUUUA